rnacentral:rRNA from 1 species
ACGGAAGGCCGCAGUGGGGAAUAUUGGACAAUGGGGGAAACCCUGAUCCAGCGACGCCGCGUGAGUGAAGAAGUAUUUCGGUAUGUAAAGCUCUAUCAGCAGGGAAGAUAAUGACGGUACCUGACUAAGAAGCCCCGGCUAACUACGUGCCAGCAGCCGCGGUAAUACGUAGGGGGCAAGCGUUAUCCGGAUUUACUGGGUGUAAAGGGAGCGUAGACGGCAAGGCAAGUCUGAUGUGAAAACCCAGGGCUCAACCGUGGGACUGCAUUGGAAACUUUCUAGCUAGAGGGCAGGAGAGGUAAGUGGAAUUCCUAGUGUAGCGGUGAAAUGCGUAGAUAUUAGGAGGAACACCAGUGGCGAAGGCGGCUUACUGGACUGUAACUGACGUUGAGGCUCGAAAGCGUGGGGAGCAAACAGGAUUAGAUACCCUGGUA